AACCGUAGAAGAGAACUAAAAAAAAAGAAUCCAUUUAUGUAUUCUUCAAGUCCAGCCUCAGAAAACCAAAAGCCGUCUUUUACGUCUUCCCAGACAAGCGAUCAUGUCAUCCUCUGGAGAUACCACCGCCGACGUAGCCGUAGUGAAACCUUACUUCUGCUACCAAUGCAACUGCACCGUCACCAUAACAGUCUCUGCGUCCUCCGACCCUUAUUGUCCUUUAUGCCAUGAGGGCUUCCUCGAAGAAUAUGAAAACCCUACCCAUGACUUCAAUUCCCAAAACCCAAACCCCAAUCAGAACCCGAAUCCCUUAUCUGAUCCAAUUUUCUCAGUCCCGGAUCCUGUCUCUACCCUAUUGCCUCUUCUCUUCUCAUCGUCCACCAGCAUCGACUUGCAAAACCCUAAUCUCUUUGGGAACUCACGAGCUGCUUCUCUUGAUCCUGACACAUUCAAUCCGAUGGAAUUUUUGCGAAACCAUCUCCAGAACCUCCAUUCCGGUGGUGCUCGCAUCCAGUUUGUUAUCGAGAACCACCCGUCAGAUCCAGGGCUUCGCCUGCCAACGAAUAUUGGGGACUACUUCAUUGGACCGGGUCUGGAGCAACUGAUUCAACAACUGGCGGAGAAUGAUCCAAACCGGUAUGGAACACCGCCGGCAUCAGAAUCGGCUAUUGACGCAUUGCCAACUAUUAAAAUCACUGAGGAGUUGUUGAAUUCAGAAAUGAAUCAGUGUGCCGUUUGCAAAGACGAGUUUGAGAAGGGGGCUGAAGCGAAGCAAAUGCCCUGUAAGCAUGUGUAUCACAACGAUUGUAUAUUGCCAUGGCUUAAAAUGCAUAAUUCAUGCCCUGUAUGUCGGUAUGAGUUGCCCACUGACGGUGCUGAUUAUGAGAGUCGGACACAUGGCUCCCGCCGGAGUCAAGGAAGCAAUGGAGUAGGAAGUGGAGGGGACAAUCGGACAGUGGAGAGGCGGUUUAGUGUUUCCCUUCCGUGGCCUUUUGGAAGACAUGGGUCUAGCAGUGAUGGUGGAGCUGGUGGGCAAAGUAGUGCUUGAGGACUGGAUUGGAGAUUGUUAGUGUGCAAGUUUAAGCCUCAAGAGAAGCUACUUUAUAUAAAAUUGCAGAAGGGUAGAUUUGUCUUUUGGCUCUUGUACAUCUAAUAUUAUGCGGAAAAAUCAAGAGCAGGUUUUCUUUCAGGAGAAUCUGGGCAAAGGAAAACCUUAAGAAAGCUGGAACAGUCUAUGUAAACUUCUAAACAAUUUUGGAUUGUUAUUAAGCAUGACAGUCUUUAUCAUACGUACACACACUGAUUUCUUAGUUAUAUAAUCCGUAUAGAUCGAUACAUUUGUUUA